CCUACGGGAGGCUGCAGUCGAGAAUCAUUCACAAUGGGGGAAACCCUGAUGGUGCGACGCCGCGUGGGGGAAUGAAGGUCUUCGGAUUGUAAACCCCUGUCAUGUGGGAGCAAAUUAAAAAGAUAGUACCACAAGAGGAAGAGACGGCUAACUCUGUGCCAGCAGCCGCGGUAAUACAGAGGUCUCAAGCGUUGUUCGGAAUCACUGGGCGUAAAGCGUGCGUAGGCUGUUUCGUAAGUCGUGUGUGAAAGGCGCGGGCUCAACCCGCGGACGGCCCAUGAUACUGGGAGACUAGAGGAAUGGAGGGGGAACCGGAAUUCUCGGUGUAGCAGUGAAAUGCGUAGAUAUCGGGAGGAACACUCGUGGCGAAGGCGGGUUCCUGGACAUUAACUGACGCUGAGGCACGAAGGCCAGGGGAGCGAAAGGGAUUAGAUACCCGGGUAGUC
rnacentral:rRNA from 1 species